UUUCCGGUUGAUCCUGCCGGACCUGACUGCUAUCGGAUUGAUACUAAGCCAUGCGAGUCUUUGUAGUAAUACAAGGCAGACGGCUCAGUAACACGUAGUCAACCUACCCUAUGGACAAGAAUAAUCUCGGGAAACUGGGCAUAAUUCUUGAUAGAUCAUAAUGCCUGGAAUGGUUUAUGGUUAAAAUGAUUCGUCGCCAUAGGAUGGGACUGCGGCCUAUCAGCUUGUUGGUGAGGUAAUGGCCCACCAAGGCGAUUACAGGUACGGGCUCUGAGAGGAGAAGCCCGGAGAUGGGUACUGAGACACGGACCCAGGCCCUAUGGGGCGCAGCAGGCGAGAAAACUUUGCAAUGUGCGAAAGCACGACAAGGUUAAUCCGAGUGAUUUCUGCUAAAGAAAUCUUUUGCCAGUCAUAAAACCACUGGUGAAUAAGGGGUGGGCAAGUUCUGGUGUCAGCCGCCGCGGUAAAACCAGCACCUCAAGUGGUCAGGAUGAUUAUUGGGCCUAAAGCAUCCGUAGCCGGCUUUGUUAGUUUUCGGUUAAAUCCAUGCGCUCAACGCAUGGGCUGCCGAAAAUACUGCAUGGCUAGGGAGUGGGAGAGGUAGACGGUACUCAGUAGGAAGGGGUAAAAUCCUUUGAUCUAUUGAUGACCACCUGUGGCGAAGGCGGUCUACCAGAACACGUUCGACGGUGAGGGAUGAAAGCUGGGGGAGCAAACCGGAUUAGAUACCCGGGUAGUCCCAGCUGUAAACGAUGCAGACUCGAUGAUGCAUUGGCAUAAUAGCCAGUGCAGUGUCGCAGGGAAGCCGUUAAGUCUGCCGCCUGGGAAGUACGUACGCAAGUAUGAAACUUAAAGGAAUUGGCGGGGGAGCACCACAAGGGGUGAAGCCUGCGGUUCAAUUGGAGUCAACGCCGGGA
rnacentral:rRNA from 1 species